GUGCUCGCUUCAGCAGCACAUAUACUAAAACUAGAACGAUACAGAGAAGAUUAGCAUGGCCCCUGCACAAGGAUGACACGCAAAUUCAUGAAGCGUUCUGUAUUUUU